rnacentral:rRNA from 1 species
UGACCAAAGAUUUAUCGGUGUAAGAUGGACUUGCGUCUGAUUAGCUAGUUGGUGAGAUAAAAGCCCACCAAGGCGACGAUCAGUAGCCGGCUUGAGAGAGUGUACGGCCACAUUGGGACUGAGACACGGCCCAAACUCCUACGGGAGGCAGCAGUGGGGAAUUUUGCACAAUGGGGGAAACCCUGAUGCAGCGACGCCGCGUGAUUUAGAAGGCCUUCGGGUUGUAAAAAUCUUUUUUAUGGGAUGAAAAUGACAGUACCAUAAGAAUAAGGUCCGGCUAAAUACGUGCCAGCAGCCGCGGUAAUACGUAUGGACCGAGCGUUGUCCGGAAUCAUUGGGCGUAAAGGGUACGUAGGCGGCCUAGUAAGUUAGAAGUGAAAUAAUAUAGCUCAACUAUAUAAAGCUUUUAAAACUGUUAGGCUUGAGAGAUGAAAGGGAAAGUGGAAUUCCUAGUGUAGCGGUGAAAUGCGCAGAUAUUAGGAAGAAUACCGGUGGCGAAGGCGACUUUCUGGUCAUCAUCUGACGCUGAGGUACGAAAGCGUGGGUAGCAAACAGGAUUAGAUACCCUGGUAGUCCACGCUGUAAACGAUGAGUGUUAGGUUCUUGGAAUAAUCUGGGAGCCGCAGCUAACGCAUUAAACACUCCGCCUGGGGAGUACGCACGCAAGUGUGAAACUCAAAGGAAUUGACGGGGACCCGCACAAGCAGCGGAGCAUGUGGUUUAAUUCGACGCAACUGUAUUACAGGUGGUGCAUGGUUGUCGUCAGCUCGUGUCGUGAGAUGUUGGGUUAAGUCCCAUAACGAGCGCAACCCCUAUCGUUAGUUACCAUCAUUAAGUUGGGGACUCUAGCGAUACUGCCGGUGAUAAACCGGAGGAAGGUGGGGACGACGUCAAAUCAUCAUGCCCUUUAUGACUUGGGCUACACACGUGCUACAAUGGCAGAUACAGAGGGCAGCGAAAGAGCGAUCUGAAGCGAAACUCACAAAGUCUGUCCCAGUUCGGAUUGUACUCUGCAACUCGAGUACAUGAAGUUGGAGUUGCUAGUAAUCGCGAAUCAGAAUGUCGCGGUGAAUGCGUUCCCGGGUCUUGUACACACCGCCCGUCACACCAUGGGAGUUGGCAAUACCCGAAGCCUGUGAGCGAACCAUUAUGGACGCAGCAGUCGAAGGUAGGGUCAGUAACUGGGGUGAAGUCGUAACAAGGUAGCCGUAUCGGAAGGUGCGGCUGGAUCACCUCCUUU